rnacentral:rRNA from 1 species
UACGUAGGGUGCAAGCGUUGUCCGGAAUUAUUGGGCGUAAAGAGCUCGUAGGCGGUUUGUCGCGUCUGCUGUGAAAACUCGGGGCUUAACCCCGGGCCUGCAGUGGGUACGGGCAGACUAGAGUGCGGUAGAGGGUAGUGGAAUUCCCGGUGUAGCGGUGAAAUGCGUAGAGAUCGGGAGGAACACCAGUGGCGAAGGCGGCUACCUGGACCAGCACUGACACUGAGGCACGAAAGCGUGGGGAGCAAACAGG